rnacentral:lncRNA from 1 species
GGAAUUAUAAUUCAUACUAUUAAUUUUAAUAUUAUAAAUUAUAAAUAAACUCAAAUUUAAAUUUAAAAUUAAAUAAAACUUGGGUUUAAUACCAAAUAUAAUCUUUUGCAAUAUAUACAUAUGUCACCACGUUAUACGGUUCCAUUGAUUUCUUGUUUUAAAAUAAACCAGUCCAAACAUGAAGCCUCAGGAUUCCGAUCAUCAGAUCUGAAGCAAAACAAAAAAUCAUCGAAUGAUUUCGUCUGGAGCUUUGGCUAAGCUCGUUAGUUGUGUAAUCUUGAAUAAUCGCAACCCUACUCCAAUUCCCAAUUGAUAAACCUUUUCUUCUCUCUCUAGCAGAAAUACUCAAAUACUACUGAGAAAAUCUACAACAACAUAUCUAUAAGGUUUGAUUCCAGCUUCUCUGGCGAGACAGCCCUUGGAUUCUUUUGUAUAUGGGGUUUUAGGUAAUUUUUUUACUUCAUAAAUCCAAAUCUGUUUCUUUAUUUACCCUAGAUGAAGAUGCCAACUGGGAGAAUUCUGCUUUUGCGUUAACUAUAAUUUCUUCAAUUUUGUAGCUUAAUUCAUACAUUAUUAAAUGUCGGAAUUAGGAGUGAAUCAAAAUUCUAAGAGUCUAGUUUUCAGCUGAAUAAGUUUUGUGUUAAACGAAUUCACAGGAAGGCAGCAUUAACAUUUAAAUAAAUUAUCCUGAAAUGGGCAAUUUGCUGGGGUUUUAUUGAAAUCAAAUAUUUUAACUAGGAAUGCCAUACGGUGGAUCUUAUAUUUAAACUUAAUAUGAUAUUGGUAUUGUUACCUUUUAAACAGUAAGAAUUUCUUAUUCACUGAAAUUAGUUAGAUGAGUAGUUACUUUGGGUUUUAUGGUUGAACUUCAGCUUUGUGUAUUACGGUGAUUAUCAAGGCAAAAGAAAGUGGAAAGAUAAUGUUUAAGGAGCUUAUGAGGUUUUUUUUUGGGUUCGAUAUGUUUACUAGAUUAAGAUUUUCUAUUUGGAAAUAGUAAUUUGUUGUAAUAUACUAUUUUCUGGUUUCAUGUUGAUAAUCGAUGCACCGAAACAAACAAUUGAUGAAAUUUGUUAGACACAUUCCUAUGUUUCUAGCUACUAACGGUAAGUUCUUAUACCACAUUUCCUUUUCAUACAUUCUUCUCCUUGUCACUUCAUCUGUUCUUCUCUCCUCAUGAAAAAGGAUGAUUACAGAGACCCCCUUCAUUGGCCUCUUCUAUUCCUUCCUUCUCAUUCCCAAAAGGAACUUAGAAGUCAAUUUUUGCUCUUUGCUUGUACUCUUCAAUAGCCCUGUUCGCUUAUGAAGCAUCAUUUUUCUUGUUGAAAGCCUCAAUUUUCCAUUUUUGCAUCAAUUUACUUAAAUUUAUGAUAGGUAAAUUCCCUAAAAGUCUAAAACUUAGAAAAUCUUGUUGAAAGCAUUCAUAUGAAGUAUGAGUCAAUGAUCCAACCAUUACAUGGUUUGGGACCUAGUUGUAUGGAAUGGAAUAGAGUGUACGGUUUUAAGGUUGAGAACAAUAAACCUCAUAAUUGAACCAAAGGAUCCAAUUGACAACAAUCUAAUAUGAUAUUUUCGUAAUGGGGCUUAAUAGCUAAAAUCUUAAAUCAAGAGAUGAGAAAAAUCAACUCUCCUAUACAACUUCUAAUUUCUAAUGUUGGAAUGAAGUGAAUUGUUGAGUAAACAAGUAGACAAGAAGCUAAGCACAAUAAUGAAGUUAGACUGAUCUAAUAUAGAAUUAACAAGGUAUUAACUAUAUUAGACUAGCAAUUUUACUGAGCAGUGUGUGCAUAAUGAGUGAAAUGAAGUAAUAAUGGAGAAAUUGAGUUUUGGAUGAGUUUGACGAUUGAAACGUGUUUGAUUUGUAUCUAAUAGAUAUUCUAAACUACCUAUAGUUAUCAUAAUCAAAUCACUAAUUGAAGGUAUUCAUUUUUUUUUUACCAACACAGGAGAUGAGAAAAAAAUGAAGAAGAAAAGAUUCAACUUGAGAGAUUGAACUUGGAUUGCAUUGAUGUUUGAAACUAGCUCUAGUAGCUUCUAAUGAGAUAAUUGAACCUACAAUAAGGCUACUUAAUAGUUCCAAACCAACUGAAGAUUUCUCAAAAGAAAUGUUGGCAAUGAGGAUAUAAAAGAUUUUUAGAUUUAAACCUAUUUGGAUUGAAUUGAAUCAUCAAAUUGGAGUAAAGAGUAGCGUUUAACAGUAAAAAAAAAAAACAAGUGAGAUGGAGUGGUUUAUACCUCAACCAAUUAAUGGAGAUGGUAGGUUUCAGUUUCCAGUUCGCAACUGCAACAACAAAAAAAGAGAAAAUAAGAUUUGAGCCUUGUUUAUUGGUCGAUUCCAUGUUGAUGUGGUUCCCUCUUCAUAUAUCUUCCUUAUGAUAGUAUACUCCUCUUCUUAUUGAUGCAUUUAUAGGCCGAUAUUAGAUAUGACCAAACCAUCUCAACCAGUGUUCUGUCAUCUUUGCUUCAAUAGGUGAGCCCCAACCUUAUUUCCUAUAUCCUGAAAUCUAGUUUUAUUCAACAGGUGAAACACUCGACAUAUAUCUCAUUUAAUAAAUUUAAAAGAAUAUAACAUGAUUAUGAACUUGACAAUAUAGAUUAUGGGAUGAGUGGAUGACUAUUAUUUUUAAUUUUAUGCUCAAAGUUCUUCGUCGUACACAUAUAUUUAAACUUAUAAGGCACCCCUAGGGUCUAGCAUUCUGAACCCCAACACUGAAAGUAGUCAUAGUUAAAUUGGAAGAUUUGAUCGAUAUGUUGAAAGGUUGGACAAAUUAUGACUUAUAUAAAUUAAUAACGAAAUGAUCUUUGGUUCCCCCCUAGAUGGUAUUUAUUGUGAUUAUUAGUCGCUGAGCACUUAAUUAUUUGAAGGUUUUUUUUAAUACAUAUAUUAUCUUGUUAACGCUCUAUUUUAUUGAUUUAUGCCUAGCAGAGCCCGCAUGGCAGAGCUGAAUUGGUUUUUGGCUUGUCACUCUUUGCACAUGGUUUCACCUUGGGUUCGAGUUGUAAAACUCAACAAGCUGAUGCCAAGUGGCGAAAUGUCAAGAAAAGAAAGGAAUAUUUUCAAUGGCUCUUUUCACCCUUUUAUAUGCUCUGAUCUCAUUUCCUGUUUGGCCAUAUUUCAUUAAUCCAGUGCCACUACUCUCUUCUGCAUUUGGUAUUACGGUAAAUCUCUCCAUCUCUCCCUCUUCCUCUUUGCUCUCAUAGUUGUAUACAUGUAUCAGUAGGAGAUGAUCUUGAAUUUCACACCUUUACAGGCUCGACGGUGUCUUUUCAGUAUGUUAUUGCCUAUACGGCCUACGCACCCUGUUACGUUUAUGAAAUAAAUUUCUACCACUUUUGUUGUUUUUCAAUCCCACAUCUUGCCAUCCUGCUAUCCUCUAACUACUGAAGAUUUCACAAGUAAACUUCUGUUCACAUUGAUUGGAAUUUGCUCCUUCAAUUUUAGAUCUAGUUACAUUUACGUCGAUCGAGUUAGAUCUACUUCAAGCAAAACACAAUUCAACACUUCUACUUUCUUUGUCAUUAGAUAUUACUUGAUUUUUUAUUAACUUUGAAGUUUUAUACAUUUGAAGCUGGGGACUAAGAUUGUAUAUAUGGACAUUUUUUUAUAUAAAAAUGUGUGAAUGUAAUAUUUGUAUGUUAUUGAUUGCAUUUUGCAGUUCUAAGUUAAAUUUGGUGACCUGAAAGUACGAAAUUCUGAAAUUAUAUGGUAAAACUAUGUUAUUUACGGCUUAUGCCAAGUGGCAAAAAAAUAAAGAAAAGAAACGAAUCUUUUAAAUGCCUCUUUCAGCCCUUUAUAUGCUCCGAUCUCAUUUUUUAUUUGGGCAUAUUUUAUUUUUCAGGUGCCGUUUCUCACUUCUGCAUUUGGGAUUUACGGUACAUCUUGAUCUCUUUCUCUUCUCUCUCAUAAGUUUAUACAUGUAGAAAUAGGUGGUGAUCUUGAAAAUCCAGC